rnacentral:rRNA from 1 species
UACGUAGGGGCAAGCGUUGUCCGGAUUCAUUGGGCGUAAAGAGCGUGUAGGCGGCCAGGUAGGUCUGCUGUGAAAACUCGAGGCUUAACCUCGAGAUGUCGGCGGAAACCAUCUGGCUAGAGUCCGGAAGAGGAGAAUGGAAUUCCUGGGUGUAGCGGUGGAAUGCGCAGAUAUCAGGAGGAACACCGGUGGCGAAGGCGGGUCUCUGGGCAGUAACUGACGCUGGAGGAGCGAAAGCGUGGGGAGCGAACAGG